GGCACCUUCAGAGUGUUGGACAAUCCAGUUAACUAAUAUUUCUGGGUUUUCCAUGGAAUAUUGCUCUGUCAGCUAGGCUGAAGUACAGUGGCACGAUCUUGACUCACUGCAAUCUCUGCCUCUCGAGUAGCAUCAGUUUAAGGGAAGACACGAGAUCAUGGGUUUAAGUGAGGCUUCAUCAUGCCAAGACAACGUGAUCAGAUCCAUUGUUUACUAUAUGGUCAGAAGAUUCUGAAGGCACGAAGACACACUUCUCUGGGCCCUGGGAGACUUCUGACAGGAGAAGUCACAUGCCUAGGAGGUAUCCUAACAGGGUGAUGCAGCAUGAAGGCCCCCCUCAGACGCUGGUGCAAUGCUCUUGGACUUCCCAACCUCCAGAACCAUGAGUCAAACAAAUUUCUAUUGUUUAUAAAUUACCCAGUCUCAAGUAUUCUGUUAUAGCAACACAAUUGGACUAAGACAGAGGAUUACACGUAUCUUUCACAUGACUUCCUUGGGGCUUAAUACAAACCCUUGAGAGUUCUAGCCCAGAUGCAGCCUAGAAAUGUGAAGAUGAAGGAGGUAGGUAGUAGGGUUGUUGUUAACCCUAGGGGAAACCCUCCACUAUGGGAUUCUGAAAUGAGCAGAUAAAUGCUGCAGCCCCCCAAACUUGUGAAGAAAAAUUUUGAGAUUUAUCUUCUCUGGUUCUUCAGCACAUCACCAAGGCAUGGACCCGCAGUUGGCUCUAGCUGUAACUAGCUCAGUGAUGCAUCCUUCACCGUUUUUCUUUCUUUCCCCAUUUUUCUCUGUAUGCUUCCUUACUUUAGCUUCCUGGGAUUGACUCCCAAAUAAGCUACCUGAAGCCAAGUGUUUGCCCAAUCCACUGCUUUCAGGAAACCCAUUCUGAGACAUAAGAAAACAAAUCAAAUGCUAAUUCAGUGGUUCAGUUGAUAAAAAUAACAAAGACUCAGCCUAGUUGGCACCAGUGGAGACAAACAAAAGAGGACAACUUUGAUAUGCAUUUUAUAGACAGUCGUGAGGCAUGCAAAUUCGUAUAAUGUAUGCAGCAAAAGAAAGGGAAAUCUUCAGUGUGAUACAAUAGUUAGUCCACUGUAUACCUAGAAUUGUCUUUUUCAGAGAAAGAUGGUGGCCUCUGGAAAAGGUACAGGUUUAGGAGGAAGAUUGUUAAUUCAAUUUGGACAUGUUACAUCCAAACUAUAUUAAAUUCUUGAGAACUAUUUCUUUGAUAAUGGAUGAGUGAAGUCAGUUCAUUUCCAUGCUUCUUAUUUGUCUUAUCAGUAAAAGAAAAACUGUGAUGUCUAGUAUCCAGAUAUGUAAAAAGUAAAUGUAAUCUACCACAUUAAAGCCCAAAAUGCUUGAUGUUUUUGCAAAUAUAAAAUAAUAUGAUUUACUUUGGAGAUAAUAAAUUAAAUAAGUUUCCUAAACAUG